ensembl:lncRNA
UUUAAAUAUAAUCUUUAUUUUUAACCCAUCGUUUAGCCUAUUUAUUUACAUAUUUUAACUUAAAUUUAAUAUUUAGUUCCUCCUAAACUCACCUGCAGCUAGGCUUGGACUCAAAUGAAAUCACUGAUGCGCCCGUUUACUCGCUCACCCGAGGCCCCCAGCAGAGGACAGGACAGCACCCUGAAUGGACAGCGCAGAAGAGUUCGUAUAGGUUGAUCCGUGUCUUCUGAUGGGGUGAGAGAAGUUCGGGUCAGCUGAUGUAGUUCAGAGGGGGGCGGGGCCGAGCGGUGCAGAGAUCGACGCGCGCGCUGGAGGCGGGAAGAGCUUUCCCGCGCGCAGAACUGAGGGAGAGAAAGAUUAAGAUGCGACCGUCGGAAAAACACAGCAUUUUUCAUGUCUUUGCAUGCAGAAAAACACUGGAUUUCAUGGAGAAGCACCACAGACAUCAUAAACAUCCAAGCUCCAUCUUUUGGUCUCCAUGGAUACUUUCUCCUUCUCUCCUCCAGGGAAUAAUGAGAAAUUAUCUCAAAGUGCUUCAAACCACCCCUUCACCAUGUUCUAAGCAAGUUCCUCACAGCACACUAAGUGCUCAAUGGUUUAUUUGCUGACGUAACAGAUGGUCCUGCCACCUUCACUCUGCCAUUUUCAUAAUAAAUUGUUGAUGGAGUAAAUCA